AUUGAACGCUGGCGGCAUGCUUUACACAUGCAAGUCGAACGGUAACAGGCCGCAAGGUGCUGACGAGUGGCGAACGGGUGAGUAAUGCAUCGGAACGUGCCCAGUCGUGGGGGAUAACUACUCGCAAGAGUAGCUAAUACCGCAUACGAUCUAUGGAUGAAAGCGGGGGACCGUAAGGCCUCGCGCGAUUGGAGCGGCCGAUGUCAGAUUAGGUAGUUGGUGGGGUAAAGGCUCACCAAGCCAACGAUCUGUAGCUGGUCUGAGAGGACGACCAGCCACACUGGGACUGAGACACGGCCCAGACUCCUACGGGAGGCAGCAGUGGGGAAUUUUGGACAAUGGGCGCAAGCCUGAUCCAGCAAUGCCGCGUGAAGGAAGAAGGCCUUCGGGUUGUAAACUGCUUUUGUACGGAACGAAACGGCUCUGGUUAAUACCCGGGGCUAAUGACGGUACCGUAAGAAUAAGCACCGGCUAACUACGUG
rnacentral:rRNA from 1 species